GAUGAACGCUGGCGGCGUGCUUAAUACAUGCAAGUCGAGCGAAGCGGGGACGGGUGAGAAACACGUGGAUAAUCUCCUAUAAGACUGGGAUAACUCCGGGAAACAGGAGCUAAACCGGAUACUUAUAGAUGGAUCCGCGCUGCAUUAGCUAGUUGGUAAGGUAACGGCUUACCAAGGCAACGAUGCAUAGCCGACCUGAUAGGGUGUUAAGCCACACUGGAACUGAGACGCGGUCCAAACGCCAAAGGGAGGCAGCAGUAGGGAAUCUUCAGCAAUUGGGGAAAGCCUGGCGAAGCAGCGCCGCGUGAGUGAUGAAGGACUUCGGAGAGUAAACCAAUGUUAUUAGGGAAGCGGUACCUAAGCAGAAAGCCACGGCUGACUACGUGCCAACAGACGCGGUAAUUC
rnacentral:rRNA from 1 species